UAACAGGAAAAGUGCCAGAUGCCUGGAG
rnacentral:piRNA from 1 species